rnacentral:pre_miRNA from 1 species
GGGGGGAGGCGGGAUCCUGGGCUGUGUCCCCGGCGCCCCGUGCUCCUGGUCUGCGCUGUUGGAUUCGCGUUCCCGGCCUCACAGCCCCCU